GCAAGUAUCUGAAAUCAGAACUGUUCUAAACUGUCUAGACUCCAUGGUUACCUUUCAUGUACAGAGUUCCUCCUUUCUUUGCUAAAUUUUUAUUUUAUGUGACUGUCACUCCUUUCUAUGUAAAAAUAUCACAGUGCUCCAGCCUCACCCUCCCAAGUGCUGGGAUUACAGACAUGCACCACCAUGUCUGGCUAUCAUUUUUAAUUAUAGAUUAUUUCUUCAUUUUUUCAGAGGAAGUCAUACCCAUGAAGAGACAGAAGUGUUUAAAGUGAGAUCCCUAAGUUGAAAACAGGGAAUGCAACUUUCUUCUGAAAUGGAAACCUUAUUAAUCAGUAAAGAAGGGAAUGGUAACAUUAACAAAUUUGACAAUCUACUGUUUAAAUUUAUAGGUAGAUGCCAGGGGUAGAUUGAGGACUCCUACUUCUAAAAAAUACAUAUUAUCUAGCAGUCCUUUGCUUUACGUCUUUGAUGAAAGGAAUUCUUUUCAUGGAAAAAUAAUAAUCCCUGUAUUUAAUGCUUUUAUAAAUUUGUACUUUCUCAUGAAGUUUUCUUGUAAGAUGCCACAUUUACUGAAUGUACAUCCAAAACAUUCUAUUGGUUGGCUUCUGCUGAAUUAGCAGCAAAACUUUCAGUCUUCAAAGGAAAUGUUUUAAAAAUUUAUAAAAACAUAAAAAAGAAUGCCAGCAUGGGCUGAGUGUAGCGACAGGUGCCUGUAAUCUCAGCUACUCAGGAGGCUGAGGCAGGAGGAUCAAAAGUUUGAGACAACUUAAUGAGACCUUAUCUAUAAAUAAAUAAAUAAGAGUUGGGGUGGGAGUAUAGCUUAGUAGAAAGCCCCUCAAUUCAUUUUCUAAUAUGUACAUAUACAAUAAAGAGUACUAUCUGGAAACCCUCUCUGAGAAACCUCUCUCACACUAACUCUUGGGUUUAGAUCUCACAGUUACUUGGAAGAUGGUUCCUUAUUUGCUUCUGAAUAUCUAGUUUGGCUGAGAACAAUUCCCAGUUUAAGGAAUAUGAUUCUCAUUCCAUAUGUGAAAUGCCUUUCAUACUGCCUGCAACAGAGUAACUAAUAAAAGAAGUUAUCUUUUGUUAUUUAUAAAACUAAGGUUUAGAAAAGUAUGGUACUCUGAUCAAAUUUGGCCUGGCACCUAUUACUGUAAAUGCUUUUAUUGGAACACAGUCAUACUCAUUAGUUUAUGUCUUUUCUAUGUAUUAGGGUUCUCCAGAGAAACAGAAUCAAUCAUAUAUUGUAUAUUAUCUGUUUAUCAAGAGAUUUAUUUUAAAGAGUUGUCUAAUGCAAUUGUAGGGCGUGGCAAGUUUGAAAUUUGUAGGGCAGGCUCGCAAGCUGGAAAUACAGACAGGAGUUGAUGCUAUAGUCUGAAGGCUGAAUUUCUUCUCUAGUGAAUGUAUUCAUUAUAUAUCACAAACAUAUACUAAUAAAAAAUAAGGAUUUCUUCUCUAAGAAACCUCAGUUUUUGCUCUUAAGACUGAUUGAAUGAGAGCCAUCCACAUUAUUGAGAGUAAGCUCCUUUAUUUACACUCAACAGAUUGUAAAUGUUAACCACAACUACAAAAUACCUACACACCAACACCUAGAUUAGUGUUGCUUUAAUAUCUGGGUUCUGUUGCCUUGCCAAGUUGACGUAUAAAGGUAACCAUCAUCCAUCUAUCACUGUUUUCUCCAUAUAAUUUCAGAACUGAGUAGUUGUAGCAGAGAUGUAAUGACCCAGAAAUCCUAAAAUAUUCUAUAUCUCGUUCUUUACAGAAAAUUCCCUGACCUCUGGAGUAAAUCAUAAACCGUUUUUUAUAAUAGAUCCAGGGACCUGUACAUGCAUGGACAUAAGUGUGCACACACAGAUUUUACAAUGUUAGUAAGAAUUGUGCUUGGCUUCCCAUGACCAAGUUCACAGACUACAUUUUAUGAGUGGAAAUGAAAGAAGAUACUGGUAUAAGCUCCUUGGUACUCCUGGAACUUCCAGGAGUUCCUCAUCCCCCUUCUUAAAUUUUUUCAUAUGUAUAUGUAUAUAUACACAACUCUAUAAAAAGUGUUGGAGAUUGAACCCUGGAACUCACACAGUCUAGGAAAGCACUUGGCAUUUAGCUAUAUGCUCAAUAGUCUCAAAAUUUUUUAAAAGAACAUUUAUCUAAAGGACAAUAAGAGGUUCUUGAGAAUUAGUUAUGUCUGUGAUAUAAGAUAAAUUUAUAGAUAGGAAACAAAUUUAAAAGAAACUCAUCUAUGUUACAUGGCUCUAUAACUGUAACACAAUUAAAAUGUUUAAAGUACAUUAAAAUAGUUUCCUACUUUAGACACAUUGAAAGUUUUGUUAGGAUAACUUAAGUGAUUUAUACUUAAUGAGAUAAUAUUCACAGCUUGUACAUUUCAAACUUGAGAACAAUUUGAAGCUGGUACUAUUUUCAUUAUUUGACAUUGUUACAUAUUUUUGCAGUACUGAGAACCAGGAGUAUGCUACAUGUGAGCUACAUCCCCAGCCCUUUUUAAAUUUCAUUUUGAGAUAUGUCUCUCUAGGUUGCUGAGGCUGGCCUCGCAUUUGUAAUCCUCUUGCCUCCCAAGUAGCUGGGCUUACAGGUGUGAAUCAUGGGGCCCAGCUGACAUGUUUAAUUUAUGUUUGCUUUUUCAUACUAGUAAAGAGUUUACAUUGUAAUGGCAUAUAAGUAAAAAUCCUAGGGCCAUAGACACCCAUAGUUCAGAUGAGUAACUGAGAUCAAUAUAGUCAGGUGUGUUUUAGAGAUGGGGACAGGUCUAAGAAAUAUAUUGUUAGGCAAUUUUGUCAUUGUACAACAUCAAAGUGUACUUCUAAGUAAUUAAUAGUCUUAGACCAGACUAUUAGGAAACAUUGUUAUGUGAUACAUGACUCUGUAUAAAUAAAAAGAUAACAUUUAAAACAAUACAUUAUAAACUGGGUAUAGUGGCACACUCUACAAUUCCAACACUCUGGGAAGCAGUUCUUACCCAGCCUGGGCAACUUGGUGACUUUACCAACACUGUGUCUCAAAAAUUAAAAAUGCUUAUUCUGGUCAUAGGUUAUAUGCAUUGUAAAUAUGGUCUGUUUAAGGACUACUUUUCAUUUUAAUGAUGUCAUUUAAAGUUCUAAAUUUUGAUGGAAUCUCAUUUAUCAAUUUUUUUCUUUUAUACAUCAUGUUUUUUUGUAUCCUAGGUAGUUCUUGCCUACCCUGAAUUCAUAAAUAUUUUCCCUUAUAAUUUCUUCUUAAAGUUUUAUACUUUUAGGCUUUCUUAUUUAAGUUCAUAGAUCCCUUCAAGUAAUUUUCAUGUAUGGAAAAAAAAGGGUUGAGGUUAAUUUUUUAUAUACAGAUACCAGGUGUUCUAGUGCCGUUUUCUGAAGACACUAUCUUUUCCUUGGCUCUUGAAUCAAGUUUAUAUUCUAUAAAAUGCUAAUGUUAAAUAAUCUUUCAAAACUCAGUGGACCAUAUAUGUGUGGUUCUAUUUCUAGAUUCUCUGUUUUAUUCAAAUGAUCUGUAUGUCUUUCCUUACACCAACACUGCCUUGAUUACUGUAGCUUUAGAAGUCUUAAAAUUAGGUACUAAAUGUCUUCCAACACUGUUUUUUUUUUUUAACUUUUCUAGGUCUUUUGUACUCCUACAUAACUUUUAAAUUUCAAUGUCCAAUUCUUCAUUUAUAGCAAGUAUACACAGACCUGAAUUUUUAUAUAUACCUUGUGUUUUCUAAUCUUGCUAAAUUCAAAUACAAGUUCUAGGGGCUCUUAGAGAUUUUUUAGUAUUUUCUCUGUAGAUGAUCAUUUCAUCUACAUAUAAAGAUUUUGCUUCUACCUUGCCAAUCCUAUCCUAAUUGUGUCAUUUUAUUUCCAGACUAUUUUGGUUGGGCCUAGGUUUCAAAGUUUAAUGGACAGAUAAAGAGUAAGCAUAUCUGCCCUUGUUCCCCACCUUAAGGAGAAAGCAUUGUAUCUUCUGCAUUCAUAUAAGGCGUUCUCACUGGAAGUAUGGAGUACAUGUCUUUAAUCUGUUGAGAAGGUUCUGUUCUACUUCUAGUCUCCUGAUAGCUUUGACCAUGAACAGCUAUAGAAUUUAGUCCAAUACUUUUUCUCCAACUAGUGACAGGAUCAUAUGGCUUUUUCCUUUCCUCUGUUUAAAUGAUGACUUUUGGGGGUGGAUCUUCCAAUGCUGAACCAACACUGCCAUCCCUAUAACAAAACCACUUUCUACAUCCUGCCAGAUCUGACUUCUAAGGCUUUGUUUCAUUAAACAAAUUUCUAUCUAUG
rnacentral:lncRNA from 1 species